GGGGAGAUACUCAAGUUCGGUUAACGAGGACAGACUGUAAAUCUGUUGGCUAUGCCUUCGCAGGUUCGAAUCCUGCUCUCCCCA
rnacentral:tRNA from 1 species